UACGUAGGGUGCAGGCGUUGUCCGGAAUUAUUGGGCGUAAAGAGCUCGUAGGCGGUUUGUCGCGUCUGCUGUGAAAACUGGGGGCUCAACCCCCAGCCUGCAGUGGGUACGGGCAGACUAGAGUGCGGUAGGGGAGAUUGGAAUUCCUGGUGUAGCGGUGGAAUGCGCAGAUAUCAGGAGGAACACCGAUGGCGAAGGCAGAUCUCUGGGCCAGUACUGACGCUGAGGAGCGAAAGCGUGGGGAGCGAACAGG
rnacentral:rRNA from 1 species